GUUUUCUAUGCGUAUGCUAGCUCCAUCCUGGUGUUGCAGUGGACUAGUUCCAUCGAUAGACAACAGAAGAUCAGAGCCCUGUUUCAGAAAGCAGGUUUAAACCUGAACUCUGGGUUGACUAACUCUGAGCUGUCAAACUCAAGAGUUUUCAGUUUCAGAACAGGUGAUAACAAUUAGUUCAAUCAACUCUGAGUUAAGUUAACCCUGAGUAAAGUACGCAUGAGGAGAUAAAAAGCCCUGGUCAAUAGAAUGCAGAUAACAUGAUUCAUCCUGGAAACAGGAGAGAAAAUGGCUCAAACCUCCUACUUCUCCCCAGUGGAGUUACAUAUUAAUGAAUGUGUAUGCGGAAUAUGAGUAUAUAUUUAAGAAAAAAACAAUACAGUAGCAGCAGAAAAAGAAUGUGAGCUGGUGUGGCAGAAAAUUGCUGACCGAGUCAAUGCCAACCCAACAGGCACAAAAUGUAGUUGGCAGCAACUGAAUAUAAAAAUGUCCUUCAAACAGCCAAUACAAAAAAGGCUGAGGGACGAAAAACCGGUGGGGGCCCCCAAUCAGAACAGUAGGUGACCUAUUGCUGAAGGCGUCUCUGGAGGAAGCUCAUCUGACCCAACCACCCCCCAGAAAGGCCUACAUAAAAGGAGGAUGAUGAAGACACCUUGUCAGCUGCAACAAAGAGGGGGAAAAUACAAGCAAUUCUGUAAAUUACAAUGAGGAAGAGGGUCCAUCCACCUCCACGGUUCAACUUACCUCACUCCGUGUGAAACCACUGCAAGGUGUACUUAAGAGAAACAAAUUGAAAAAUGAAAUCUAGAAAUUGACCAAGGCUGCAGAAGCAAAAGAUAAAAAUAGAAAUACAACUGCUGGAAAAUCAGUUUUUAUGUUUGAACAACAUAAAAAAGAUUAACUACUGUCCUGCAUUUGUACUUGCAGAAAAUAAAGAAGACUUCAUGAAAA
ensembl:lncRNA